rnacentral:rRNA from 1 species
AUUGAACGCUGGCGGCAGGCCUAACACAUGCAAGUCGGACGGUAGCACAGAGGAGCUUGCUCCUUGGGUGACGAGUGGCGGACGGGUGAGUAAUGUCUGGGGAUCUGCCCGAUAGAGGGGGAUAACCACUGGAAACGGUGGCUAAUACCGCAUAACGUCGCAAGACCAAAGAGGGGGACCUUCGGGCCUCUCACUAUCGGAUGAACCCAGAUGGGAUUAGCUAGUAGGCGGGGUAAUGGCCCACCUAGGCGACGAUCCCUAGCUGGUCUGAGAGGAUGACCAGCCACACUGGAACUGAGACACGGUCCAGACUCCUACGGGAGGCAGCAGUGGGGAAUAUUGCACAAUGGGCGCAAGCCUGAUGCAGCCAUGCCGCGCGUAUGAAGAAGGCCUUCGGGUUGUAAAGUACUUUCAGCGGGGAGGAAGGCGGUGAGGUUAAUAACCUCGCCGAUUGACGUUACCCGCAGAAGAAGCACCGGCUAACUCCGUGCCAGCAGCCGCAGUAA